rnacentral:sRNA from 1 species
CACAUUAACCACGUUCGAUGCGUAGAUGCGCCUAUGGGGUGGUAAUCGCCACUUAAUGCUGGCGACAUUUGCGAGGUACCAGGCGUUCAGCAUCAUAGGCGGACAUGCUAACCUCUCAGCUACAGUGGCCUUCUGGUGGCCUUAGACGAUGAAUACCGCUUUUAAAAAGCUAAUGGGUAUAAUGUUCCCUCGUGAUUCGCUGCUAUGGUCCGGAACGGGUUUGCUCACUUAUUGGAGCUUGCCAAGAACCACUACCUCCACAUGCGAACGUGGCUACAACAACAGAGGAUUGUACCAGGGGAUACUUCAUUAUCAAACUGUUUGGUGGGGAUAUCGACAAAUUAAUCCCAUCUAAAUUUUUUUCAAGUGUUUGACGAUCCGGAUGCUUUCAAAAUUUCAUAGCUGUGAGACUCUAUUCCUCCAUAUGAAAAAAUUUAAUUCCUAUAGAUGUUCGUUUGCUGAGUGAUCAUAAUUUCUUUUCAUUUACCUAAGCUUGCAAGGUCGAAUCUAUCUCUCCAAGAUGAAUAUAAAGUUUAGCAAUAAAGUUUUAAACACAUUCACAUUUAAGUUUUGCUUUGCUACGACUUGGUCACGUAUAUCUAUUUUGGUUUUUGCAUAUUGUGCAAAUAUUGGGUU